AUGAGAAGUAGCUAAGCCAGGACAGCCAGGGUGCUGGUGCCUGGGUACUCUGACCGGACUGUAUAUAUAAACUCACCUUAGACCUCUGCUCUGCGAAUCUGGUGUCCCAACGAGGAAGGCCUUCUUAAUGGUUGCUCUCAAAUUCAUGGGAAUUGAAUGGGACGAAAUUUUUCUUGGCAUUCUCUAAUAUUUUCUCACUUUCUGGCAGAUUUUUCCACCAGAAGAGCGGAGAGUGAAGGGAGCAGAGGAAAUCUCACAUGCAUUUGGAUUUCACACAUGCCUACUUAUACAAGAGCUCAGAGAAAAAAGCAUCCAGCACGGGAGCUACAGGUCCUGUGGCUCGCUGCCCCUGCCACUGCCAAGUGUACGACAGAAGGUCAUACCGAAUGUCGCUAGUCCGGGAAAAGAUCAUUCCACAUGCGAAGUCUGUCUUGAGGGCAUACUACAGAGUGUUGGAGAGAGGCCACCAAUUCCGAAGGCUCCAGGACCAAGAAAGUGACACAUCAGGAGAUUAGACCAGACCUCUAUGCCUUGAUCAGGUUGAAAAUAUGCUGGCACAGCCAGCAUCAGCUCCAGCCAAGUCAUGGAUGUGCAGAGGGGCCCCGCAGUACGGAAUGCAAAGCAACUUUAGAAAGAGCUCAGAGAGAUGACGGAAGUUACCCAAGGUCACACAUCAAUGAGUGUUAGAGCUGAGAUUCAAACCUAACUCUGAUAUGAAAUCCCAAACCCUCUUCAGUAUACCAAGAAUUUGCUUUGGAAAAUGCUUUAGAAUUUUGGAAUGUAAUAUAGUUUUUGAAAGAUGUUCUUAUUUUUUAGUUUAUUUCUAAAAUAGGCAUGUAAUUCCCUCUCAUUAUGAGAGACUACAAUGGCUCAAAAUCCAUUUCAACAAAGUUCAUGAAACUCCAAGUGCUGCGUGUUAAUCGAAGGUUGAAUGAGUAUUUAAGAGUUGUAAUUUCUAAAUGAUUUUGCUAGUCUUAUCAAAAGCAGAAGGGCAAUAAUUCACACAAUCAUCAUUGAUUUCAAGUGAAAAUUUUUCGUCUUUUGUUUGGCUUCUUGGCCACUUUUCAGGGCUUCCUGCAGUCCAUUUAACAGAAAAUGAAGCUUAAAGCCAAUAAAAAAAGGGGAAAAAAAUAUUGGGCUCAUGGAGAUGUCGAGUGGGUGCAGGUGGUAAAUGGAGCUUAGGAAAUAAUGACCAAAUAUGUGUGAGAGUUAGUAAUAUUCCAUUUCCGCACAGCCCCCCCACCCCAACCCCUAGCCAAAAACCUUAUUGCCCUCAUAUCACGCUUUAUCCUUUACUCCUGGGUAGUUAGGUUAAUUCCAAUUGCCCUUAGGCUCAUUAUGUGUGACUCUAAGAAUAGGGGUUCCAUUCUUGAAACAUAGAAUUUGCUGGCAUUGAGAUUAAUUUCCAAGGCAACACUGAUGCUGUGAGACGCAGUUAAAUUGCGGGAUGUUCCAUGAGAGACGAGCAGGACAAAGGGCACGCCUACAUUAACAACAAACAAACAAACAGACAAACAAAACAGAAACUCAGAGUUGGAUGAAUCCUUGUGUUCCAAAUCUGUUCCAAAUUUUAUCACUUAAAACUGAGACUAUGAAGUAAUUUUUCCAAGUUCACAGAGCUGGUAGGUGGCUGAGCUUGUAUGCAAAUCCAUGGCUAUAUUUUAAUGACUAGCUUACAUUGUUUGGCUUUGAGCAAUUAACUUCUCUAGGAUUCCAUUUUGUUAUCUAGAAAAUGAGGAUGAUAACACCGAACUGAUGUGCAUUAGUGAGGAGUAGAUGACAUGUAUGUGAAGUGUGGAGCUGAGGGCCUGGGAAGCAGGAACUGGGAAAGUAGGGAGGGAGCCUGGGAGCCGUUACUGAGGUUGUAACCUCAGCAGCAACUGUUCAGUGGUAAUGGAAUUUGGGGUAGAAUCCGUGCCUGAAAUUCAGGCAUUAGUGCUCAGCUGAAUGCCCUUUCCAAUAAACCAGGUUUUAAUUCCCUCAAACAAAAUUUACUAUUUG